UACGGAGGGGGGCUAGCGUUGUUCGGAAUUACUGGGCGUAAAGCGCACGUAGGCGGUUUUGUAAGUUAGAGGUGAAAGCCUGGGGCUCAACUCCAGAAUUGCCUUUAAGACUGCAUCACUUUGAACACGGGAGAGGUGAGUGGAAUUCCGAGUGUAGAGGUGAAAUUCGUAGAUAUUCGGAAGAACACCAGUGGCGAAAGGCGG
rnacentral:rRNA from 1 species